rnacentral:rRNA from 1 species
AGAGGGGGCAAGCGUUGUUCGGAAUUACUGGGCGUAAAGGGCGCGUAGGCGGCCCUCUAAGUCAGACGUGAAAUCCCUCGGCUCAACCGGGGAACUGCGUCUGAGACUGGAAGGCUUGAAUUCGGGAGAGGGAUGUGGAAUUCCAGGUGUAGCGGUGAAAUGCGUAGAUAUCUGGAGGAACACCGGUGGCGAAGGCGGCAUCCUGGACCGAUAUUGACGCUGAUGCGCGAAAGCCAGGGGAGCAAACGGGAUUAGAUACCCCGGUAGUCCUGGCCCUAAACGAUGAAUGCUUGGUGUGGCGGGUAUCGAUCCCUGCCGUGCCGAAGCUAACGCAUUAAGCAUUCCGCCUGGGGAGUACGGUCGCAAGGCUGAA